UACGGGGGGAGCAAGCGUUGUUCGGAUUUACUGGGCGUAAAGGGCGCGUAGGCGGCACCGCAAGUCGACUGUGAAAUCUCCGGGCUUAACUCGGAAAGGUCAGCCGAUACUGCGGGGCUAGAGUGCAGAAGGGGCAACUGGAAUUCUCGGUGUAGCGGUGAAAUGCGUAGAUAUCGAGAGGAACACCUGCGGCGAAGGCGGGCUACUGGGCCGAUACUGACGCUGAUGCGCGAAAGCCAGGGGAGCGAACGGG
rnacentral:rRNA from 1 species